AUUGAACGCUGGCGGCAGGCCUAACACAUGCAAGUCGAACGAGUGGCGGACGGGUGAGUAAUGUCUGGGACAUUGCCCGAAGGGGGGGGCUAACUACUGGAAACGGUAGCUAAUCCCGCAUACCAUCGGAUUUGCGCAGAUGGGAUUAGCUAGUAGGUGGGGUAACGGCUCACCUAGGAGACGAGCCCUAGCUGGUCUGAGAGGAUGACCAGCCACACUGGAACUGAGACACGGCCCAGACUCCUACGGGAGGCAGCAGUGGGGAAUAUUGCGCAAUGGGGGCAACCCUGACGCAGCCAGGCCGCGUGAAUGAAGAAGGCCUUCGGGUUGUAAAGUUCUUUCGGUAGCGAGGCGUUAACUACAGAAGAAGCAACGGCUAACUCCGUGCCAGCCGCCGCGGUAAUUC
rnacentral:rRNA from 1 species